rnacentral:rRNA from 1 species
CUGUUGGCGUGCCUAAUACAUGCAAGUCGAACGCUUCUUUUUCCACCGGAGCUUGCUCCACCGGAAAAAGAGGAGUGGCGAACGGGUGAGUAACACGUGGGUAACCUGCCCAUCAGAAGGGGAUAACACUUGGAAACAGGUGCUAAUACCGUAUAACAAUCGAAACCGCAUGGUUUUGAUUUGAAAGGCGCUUUCGGGUGUCGCUGAUGGAUGGACCCGCGGUGCAUUAGCUAGUUGGUGAGGUAACGGCUCACCAAGGCCACGAUGCAUAGCCGACCUGAGAGGGUGAUCGGCCACAUUGGGACUGAGACACGGCCCAAACUCCUACGGGAGGCAGCAGUAGGGAAUCUUCGGCAAUGGACGAAAGUCUGACCGAGCAACGCCGCGUGAGUGAAGAAGGUUUUCGGAUCGUAAAACUCUGUUGUUAGAGAAGAACAAGGAUGAGAGUAACUGUUCAUCCCUUGACGGUAUCUAACCAGAAAGCCACGGCUAACUACGUGCCAGCAGCCGCGGUAAUACGUAGGUGGCAAGCGUUGUCCGGAUUUAUUGGGCGUAAAGCGAGCGCAGGCGGUUUCUUAAGUCUGAUGUGAAAGCCCCCGGCUCAACCGGGGAGGGUCAUUGGAAACUGGGAGACUUGAGUGCAGAAGAGGAGAGUGGAAUUCCAUGUGUAGCGGUGAAAUGCGUAGAUAUAUGGAGGAACACCAGUGGCGAAGGCGGCUCUCUGGUCUGUAACUGACGCUGAGGCUCGAAAGCGUGGGGAGCAAACAGGAUUAGAUACCCUGGUAGUCCACGCCGUAAACGAUGAGUGCUAAGUGUUGGAGGGUUUCCGCCCUUCAGUGCUGCAGCUAACGCAUUAAGCACUCCGCCUGGGGAGUACGACCGCAAGGUUGAAACUCAAAGGAAUUGACGGGGGCCCGCACAAGCGGUGGAGCAUGUGGUUUAAUUCGAAGCAACGCGAAGAACCUUACCAGGUCUUGACAUCCUUUGACCACUCUAGAGAUAAAGCUUCCCCUUCGGGGGCAAAGUGACAGGUGGUGCAUGGUUGUCGUCAGCUCGUGUCGUGAGAUGUUGGGUUAAGUCCCGCAACGAGCGCAACCCUUAUUGUUAGUUGCCAUCAUUCAGUUGGGCACUCUAGCAAGACUGCCGGUGACAAACCGGAGGAAGGUGGGGAUGACGUCAAAUCAUCAUGCCCCUUAUGACCUGGGCUACACACGUGCUACAAUGGGAAGUACAACGAGUCGCGAAGUCGCGAGGCUAAGCUAAUCUCUUAAAGCUUCUCUCAGUUCGGAUUGCAGGCUGCAACUCGCCUGCAUGAAGCCGGAAUCGCUAGUAAUCGCGGAUCAGCACGCCGCGGUGAAUACGUUCCCGGGCCUUGUACACACCGCCCGUCACACCACGAGAGUUUGUAACACCCGAAGUCGGUGAGGUAACCUUUUGGAGCCAGCCGCCUAAGGUGGGAUAGAUGAUUGGG